UCUGGAACUCGAGAUAUAGGCUGAACACUGAACAAUGUCUGGGCUGCAGGACAAAUUACAACUUCUCUUUUGUUGCUACAAUUUGAACUUGAAAACGAUCAUUUUGAAUCUUAGACUCUUCAUGAAAGUUGUAGGCCUAUGUCUUAGCUUUCCAUC
rfam:Populus trichocarpa scaffold_13_contig_81, whole genome shotgun sequence.